AGUUCGGAUUGCAGGCUGCAACCCGCCUGCAUGAAGUUGGAAUCGCUAGUAAUCGCGGAUCAGCAUGCCGCGGUGAAUACGUUCCCGGGCCUUGUACACACCGCCCGUCACACCAUGAGAGUCGGGAACACCCGAAGUCCGUAGCCUAACCGCAAGGGGGGCGCGGCCGAAGGUGGGUUCGAUAAUUGGGGUGAAGUCGUAACAAGGUAGC
rnacentral:rRNA from 1 species